rnacentral:rRNA from 1 species
UACGGAGGGGGCAAGCGUUGUUCGGAUUUACUGGGCGUAAAGGGCGCGUAGGCGGCGUGACAAGUCACUUGUGAAAUCUCCGAGCUUAACUCGGAACGGUCAACUGAUACUGUGCGGCUAGAGUGCGGAAGGGGCAACUGGAAUUCUUGGUGUAGCGGUGAAAUGCGUAGAUAUCAAGAGGAACACCUGCGGCGAAGGCGGGUUGCUGGGCCGACACUGACGCUGAGGCGCGAAAGCCAGGGGAGCGAACGGG